GCUGGAAGGGGAAGCUGAACCACAUGCUCCGUCUCGGCCAACAGAGCCUAUUGCUCCAUUUCUCACCAGGUCGUUCCUAAUAUAGAGAAAUGAUGCGUUCAUCUUAUGCUAAGCCCUUGUACUCGUUAGAUGAUUUCUCUUUAUAUGGAGCAUGUACUGUUUCCCAAUGGGGUAUGCAUAAAAAAGAGUGUGAAAGAUUACCACAGCAAUUGAAGCGUGCUCAUGUGUUAUGUCUUGUGUGAUUUCCCUUUACAUUUAAUCAAGAAUUUCAGGUUUGAUUUUUAUUGUUUAAUUGAUUAAUUUCAUUUACUUAUUUAAAUUAAUUAAUAUUUUAACGAAGUCAUGCAGGAGCUUAUUUGGGCGAAAUUUUGUUGGUUUUCGGUUAGGUGUGUGAAAAGUGAUAGGUGCAUUCUUCAUUGUUAAUAGAACACGGAAUUCACCUUACAGGAAUGUGAAUGUGUUAAUGUAGUUGUGAGGGAUGGUCUAUCCCUUUCGAUCAAUCAAGGUAUUUCUUGCUAAUUUUUCUAAUCCAAUGCUAUAACUGCUGGAACGGUUUGUACUAUGAGCAUGUUUGAGUAAGCUUAUUGUUUCAAUACAUGUCUGGAUAUGUUAAGUUUGAGAUUGUUUUGGUCACACUGCCUAUUGAUUUCUGGUAGGUUGCUUGAAGUUUGGAAUCGUCCAAGUGCACUGCCCUUGUAAAGGGUACCUGAACUAAAAAGUUGGAAGGACUACCAUGAAUGGAGGUGCAUCCCAAUUUGUUCUCCUGCUGCUUUACUUCUUCACUUGCCACUCACAAUAUACUGGGCUAUUCGGCUUGCAACUCUUAAAAGUUGAUUCCUGCAAUCUGAAAUGAGCUGCACAUACAUUACCUAGGAUUUGGACUUGUAUGGAAAUCCUAGCAGAAGCUGAAAGGCAUGUCAUAACCUCUGAUCAAUUGCUCACAAUUCCUGAACACGAUGAAUGGAUCUAUAGUGAUGGGAAGUUAAUGACGCAUGCCUUUAUUCUUGCAAUAUAUGUGGUCCACUCUCCAAUUCAAUUCAAGUAACUGAAUUUACGACUGCGAUGCCUAAAUGCUCAAGAUUUUUGAGAAUAACUAGUCACCUAUGGAUUGGAUGUAACAACGGGGACCAUCAGCUUUCAUUCUGCCAGAUUUUGGGUGAGUAAAUGGUAUUGCCAUAUAAUGACACUUUAGAGCCCUAUACCAAUAGCAUUACUGUUACUUUGUAGGUCUAUAUGUUUAGUAGCACCAAUUAAUGAUUUAGUGUAUCGAAAAGCUAAAAAGGAAGACAAACUUAAGGAUAUCUUUGAUCAUUCCACAAAAUAUUUCUAAAGAAAUUAUUUACUGUAUAUGCAUAUAUGAAAACUUUAUUUUUACAUGUAGAAAACAAUUCUUCAAAUGAAUGUCAUUACAAUCUCUAUCAAAUACAGACAAUGCAGCAAUUUAAUAAUAAAAAAAUACAAAAUAAAAUGUGAGAUGAGUUCAUGCACUCAUAUUAUUGUUUUUAUGGAGCUUUUGUGUUUUCUUGUGGUAUUUAUCUUUGAUCCAAUGAAAACCAGUGGUAACUCCGGCCUUAACUUUCCUCAUUCCGGUGGUGGCUGCCACCUUAGUUUUGUCGAACUUGUGGCCGACCUUGGCGGAGAUUUUGGAAGAUCCACCACUGUUUGUAUUGUUGUUGUAACUGUACAGUGGCUCUGGAUCCCAUUGAUCAGCCCAUGAGGUCUCAUAUGAACUAUCGUAAUUAGAUGCCAUUGUUAUUUGUUAAACUGCAGAUAUAGAGAGAAAAAUACACAAAUGUAUACAGAGAAGAGAGACUUGGUUUCAGGGUAUUCUAUUUUGGAGAGGUUGCAGAGUAGGCUAGGAUUUUUAUAUGGUGUAAUUUAAGCACGUGUUCCAUGAACAAGUAUAGUUCCUGGAAAUGAAUCUAUUUUGAAUGGCAUACUUAAUUAUAUGGAUUUCUCAUCA